rnacentral:lncRNA from 1 species
ACAGAGCGUCGAUGCGGGAGAGCUUGGAAAAAUCCGUGCUUUUUCGAGAUUGGAUUCGUGCAGAAAGAAGGAACUUUGGCAUAGCAGAAUCACAAUCAGCAAUAGAUGAGGUAUAUGAAGAAAUGAUAGCAGAACUUGCUGAGGAAGCAACUUCACCCGGAAGGUGAUGAACAAGCUUCAUUUCCACCACCGCCAACACAACCACCUCCC